GCCAACGACCAUACCACGUAGGAACUACUGGUUCUCGUUCGAUCACCAAAGUCAAGCUACGUCGGGCACGGUUAGUAGUACUUGGAUGGGUGACCGCUUGGGAACACCGUGUGUUGUUGGUU
rnacentral:rRNA from 1 species